rnacentral:snRNA from 1 species
CUCUCUUAAGGUAGCCAAA